rnacentral:rRNA from 1 species
CAGAGUUGAUCAUGGCUCAGGAUGAACGCUAGCUACAGGCUUAACACAUGCAAGUCGAGGGGAAACGACAUCGAAAGCUUGCUUUUGAUGGGCGUCGACCGGCGCACGGGUGAGUAACGCGUAUCCAACCUGCCCAUCACUUGGGGAUAACCUUGCGAAAGUAAGACUAAUACCCAAUGACGUCUCUAGAAGACAUCUGAAAGAGAUUAAAGAUUUAUCGGUGAUGGAUGGGGAUGCGUCUGAUUAGCUUGUUGGCGGGGUAACGGCCACCAAGGCGACGAUCAGUAGGGGUUCUGAGAGGAAGGUCCCCCANAUUGGAACUGAGACACGGUCCAAACUCCUACGGGAGGCA